rnacentral:lncRNA from 1 species
UCAGGUCUAGUGAUGUCAACUUGUUAAACCUAUGACCAUGAGCAUUAGAUUAAAAUAAUCUAAUAGAAAGAAAAACAAAAUAAAACACGAAGAUCAACUCAUAUUAAAUCAAAUAUUAAAUGAUGGGAUUGAGAAAUAAUCAAUAAAAAACUUUUUAAAAAAAUCAAAGUCAGCCCAUGUUAAUAUUUAAAACCACGUUAAAGAUCAAUAAAAAAAAAAAAAAAAGGAAAAUCCUCAAUCACAAAACACUAAGGGAUGUGAUUUAGAAAAAAAAAUACAAUAAAAAAAUAAACUAAAACAAAGCAAAAAAGAUAUAAAUGAUUAUGAGUAUUUGCUUGUAAGAAUUUUUUUUUUUGGUAUUCAUAACAUAUUCAUUACCCAUAAGAUAGGAAAUAUAUAUAUUUACAAACUAUAAAUUGAAAUUUGAGUACCACGUGGAUAACAAUCAUAUGACUAUUAUUUAUUAUUCAAUAAUAAUAUAGAUUAAUAUAUGUGCACGUGUAUAUGUAUAUGUAUAUAUUUGAAUUGUGUGUGUAUUAAAUUAUUAAAUUAUAAUUUUAUGUCAAUGUUAAGUAUGGAUAUAUUACAUUGCAUUAAAAAAUAAUCAAUAUAUAUAUAUACACACACACACACUUCAUGCUAAGUUUAUGCGGAUUUCAAGUCAGUUUUGAUAAUAUUCAUGCUAUAUACAUUACUUGUUAGGCAAGACAAUCAUAAAAAAAGUAUUGACUUGUUCGGGUUGGUAUCCAUUAAGUUUGGAUUAAAUUGUCAUCUCUAACAUCAAGUGAUGAAAUUAUGUACCCGCACGAGUAUCUAUUAUCUAAAAACUAUCUAGUAUUAAAUAAAAGAUAAAGGCUGUGUUUGUUUUCCGGAAAGCGAUUUUUGGGAAACCACUUUUCAAACUUUUAUGUGUUUGUUUGUCAUUAGAAAAGUUGGUCAACAGAAAACACUUUGCAGUCAAAGGAAAAUUUGGCAUGGUUUUCAGGAAAGUAUUUUCCUUUUAUUUUGGGCGGAAAACACUUUUUGGAAGUUAUGAAAAAUUUAGAAAUGUCAUAUUAUUUGCUAAUUAUAUCAAAUUUGAUCCUCAACUUUUGAUUGCUAUAUAUAUUUUGUUUUAAAUAUUUUUUUUUCAAUUUCAUCCCUUAGAAAUUAAUCUUUAUAUUAACUUCGG